rnacentral:rRNA from 1 species
AUUGAACGCUGGCGGAAUGCUUUACACAUGCAAGUCGAACGGUAGAGGGGGCAACCCCUCGAGAGUGGCGAACGGGUGAGUAAUAUAUCGGAACGUGCCCAGUCGUGGGGGAUAACGUAGCGAAAGUUACGCUAAUACCGCAUACGAUCUAAGGAUGAAAGCGGGGGAUGGCAAGACCUCGCGCGAUUGGAGCGGCCGAUAUCAGAUUAGGUAGUUGGUGGGGUAAAGGCUCACCAAGCCAACGAUCUGUAGCUGGUCUGAGAGCACAACCGGCCACACUGGAACUGUGACCCGGUCCAGACUCCGACGGGAGGCAGAAGUGGGGAAUUUUGGACAAUGGACGCAAGUCUGAUCCAGCCAUUCCGCGUGCAGGAUGAAGGCCCUCGGGUUGUAAACUGCUUUUGUACGGAACGAAAAGGUCUCUCUUAAUACGGGGGACUCAUGACGGUACCGUAAGAAUAAGCACCGGCUAACUGCGUGCCAGCCGCCGCCGUAA